rnacentral:rRNA from 1 species
UACGUAGGGGGCAAGCGUUGUCCGGAAUCAUUGGGCGUAAAGAGCGUGUAGGCGGCCUUACAGGUCAGCUGUGAAAACUCGAGGCUCAACCUCGAGACGUCGGUUGAAACCGUAUGGCUAGAGUCCGGAAGAGGAGAGUGGAAUUCCCGGUGUAGCGGUGAAAUGCGCAGAUAUCGGGAAGAACACCCGUGGCGAAGGCGGCUCUCUGGGACGGUACUGACGCUGAGACGCGAAAGCGUGGGGAGCGAACAGG